AUAAAAACUUAGUUGAGUUGAGUAUAACCUUUUAUUAGGGCCACAAAGGAUCACAAAAUAGCAAUUAUGACCUUAAUAAUGAUCUUGUAUCACUUGUUCUGUCACGGUGAUGCAGAUGCCAUUGCCAACAAAUCCCAAAGUAUGUUACUAUAACAAGUAGUCAAGUACAGACUUGAGCCAUCCAUCAUACAAAAUGACAGCACUUUAUUAUCAUGUACCCAUGUCUGACAAUGUUAAACUAGCAUGUGUACAAAAGGCAGUAAAUCAAAAAAUCAUACAGAAAUAUGCAUGCAAAUGAGGACAAAAGUCACUGAACACUUUCUACCGACCACGUCUGGAUCUGAAAAAGAGUUGGUUGUCCAAGGUUAGCCAAGAUAGUUAACGUUGUUCCUUUCUAUAACAGGAGAGGGGUUCAUUGAGAAAUAUUGAUAUAAUGCCAAAAAUCAAUGUUCAUAAAAAGAACAAUUUUACAUUUGAUUCCACUCACACAGAUGCAGAAAAGUCAUAGCACCCAAAGCUUAUUUCCAUCUCACUAUUUUCAGAAAAUCUAUUGCAAAAUCCAAAACACAUACUGAAAUCAGGAUAAAUAAUUCAAAUAUUUGAAACAUGCCAAGUUCCAACAAUUAAUAAGAUUGUUUCAUCCAGGCUCCAGCACAUCAAUGCUGCAGACAAUCUUGGCAAUAACACAAGCAUCUACUCCCUAUCCCAAAAAAAAGUACAUAAAGAAAAAAGAGAUGGAAGAAGAAUAUGUAAAGGUUUUUGUUUAUGUUCUAUAGUGACGAUCACGCAAAAGACUCCUUAAAACCUCAUGCUGCCAAAAUAUCCUUCAGACCAAAUCUGACUUCAUCUCGCUGAUGAGUGUACCAAUAAAAUCAGGGACGCUAUCGCUAUUAAGCUCGAGCCAAAUACCAUACAAUGACAACCAUGUAGAUAUGUCAAUCAAAACAAAUAACAGUCAGAAGCACAACCAGCAAAUGUGCAUGGCACAGUUCAUAUAGUAGGAAACAAAAUCACAUCCUUAAACUGUAAGAUCAAAAGAAACGAAAUAGUACCUUGGCCUCGUCCUGCUCAACAG
rnacentral:misc_RNA from 1 species